UGAGAUCCCGGACGUCACCAGGAGUGCCGGACGUCACCUCCCUCCUCCUUCGACGGCGCCUGGUCCAGAUCGGGCUCAGGUCAUCGCCUGGUCCAGAUCGGGCUCAGGUCGUCUCCAAGCAGGGGUGAACAGCGGGAAGCGGUGGGGAGAAGCGAGCGGCAGCCGGCAGGGAGAGGCGGAGAGCCACGACGGGGUGGACAGCGGGAAGCGGUGGGAAGAAGCGAGCGGCAGUCGACAGGGAGAGCCACGACGAUGGCCGGCGUGAGCUGCCACUUCCUCCCCUCGUCGGCGCCGCGAGGCCGCUGAGCCCGCGCCGGAGCUUCCCGUCUGUGAGCGGUCGCUCCGCCCACCGGCCGUCCCCCGUCCGUGUGCUUCUUCUCGGGACGUCGACGCCACGGAGCUCGUCAAGCUCCCUCUCUGCUGCUGCAGGAGGAUUGGAUUGGAUUGGUUUCUACUUGCUCUAUUAUCUAUUUGAGAAUCUGAGAUGCGGCCCUCCAAAUCUUCGGCCCCAGAAGGAGGAUUUGAGAGUGGAGAAGGGUCACCUGAAUGUGAUUUGGAGGAAGGAGUUGUCCAGGAAUCAAAAUGUUAUUAUUUUACUAUUCUGCAGGGGAGAAUCUAAAGAUUAUUUGUUUCUUUUUAUGCCUGCAGAUCGUGUUUAGUGUUUGGGAUUCACACCCUGCAUUGAUAAGGUCUGAAUUUAACAUCCACUUUUAACACUGGGAUCCUCAAGUGUUUCAGUUCGUACUUUGCCGACGUACAAUCUAUUGGCCACAUUUUCUAGCACACUUAUUCCAACUGAAGUCAGCUCCUGCUUGCACUUCUCCACUGAGUGAAUGCUAAUAGUUCUAAAAAGAUAAACCACCCAUAGAAUUGGUUCUAAUUAGAUCCUCUGAAAGAUGCAAGCAGCUAGAGUACCUUAGUCCAUAGGAGUCCUGAACUGGUUCAGAAGUUCUUGAGUAAACUGGAUCAGUGAGAAUAUUAAUUGAGUCGCUGCUCAAGAAACAAAGUAGAAUAACGACAGCGUAGCUAAUACCAUUUGUCCCUGCAUGAUGUAUUUUGAUCUCAAAUGCAUUUGAAUGGCUUGAUUUUUGCAGAGAUCUUGUCACCUGCGCCCUUGUUUGGUCGUACAUAAAACUGUCAUCUUGCUUUAAAUUCAAGUGGUCAGGUCUUUGAUAGCACGCAUGGCUGAACCCACCUUUUGUUGAAUUUGGGAACCGUCUAAUAUAGCUAUUUUUUAAGGAGCUUGAACAGAUCUCAGUAUAUGUUAAUUUUGUAGAACUAAAGGUUAGCACAGAACUAAAGGAGCCUGAGUGACUAGGUAAAUGUAUUGGCAAGAAUGUUAGACCAUAAAGAAGCUAUCAUAUCUCAUUUAAGUUGGGCUAGCCUCUAUUCCCAGCGAACUGAAGCAGCUAAGCUUGCAGGCAUGUGUACUGUAAACAGAACCAAGUUCUGCAUAUAUUGUAUUUGCAGAAAAUGUUUUUGGCCUGUACGUUCUAACAAAUUUGAGGUGAUAAAUUCUGAACACUAAAAGAAUUAGUUUUGUAGGACCAGUUUUCUUGUAUGACCUUGCACUACUGUAUUGAUUUUCUUGUACUUGCAUGGUCGGACUAAUAAUCAGCACAGUACAUUACUAAUUCAAUAGGACUAAUUUAUUUGAACUAAAGCCUUAGUAUGUAUGUUCAUAAUAUGUGCAGAUCACCACAUGCAGACUAUUCAUUCCUUGCCAAACUGCACAUGCUAGCUACUGUUUGAAGAUGACGUUGUAAAAAAUGCAUAAGCUGGGGAUGGCAUGGUGAUGCUGCUGGUCGAGAAGUACCAUCCCAGAAUAAAUUUAACAUCAACACGGUGAUUUGAGAAUGCAAACAAGCACAAUAGGAUCUUCCAUGUCAAUUGUUCCCUCCUUACCUGCCAAUGCUUCCUCCUGCCUUGCCAGCCACGCGUGUCCUCACCUUUGUUCAUCAAUUCGUGUGCAGCGUAAUGCUCCACCGCUUCGUGUGCUGCCUCGAGUCGCGCGGCCACUAAGCUCGCGCUGAGGUGGAGGCAGCUGCCACUCUCGACGCCCUCCGCUGCGCGCUCUCGCCGGCGGCGUUCACAAAGCCUUGUCACCACGCUGCAAGUGUUGCCCCCCUCCUCCCCAAGGGCAAGGUGAAGAAAGGUGCAUGUGUGGUUUUUCUGCAGCUUACAGCGAGGAUUGCUGUGUCCAACCUGCACAAUAAUGCCAAGAAGUCCUUCUUGGAGACGUAAGCUACGGCGCAUGUUUCUGCCAUGAUUUCCUUCGGUUGGUUUUCGUGGAUUUAGGUGUUAAAAAAUUAUGGGAUGUGGAUGCAGGAUUAAGGACAUGUACAUGCAAUACAACGAGAGAUCUGGGCUGCUUCUUUGUGGCUUCCAAACUUGAAAUUUUUGUUUGGAAGUUAGUUUAGUUUUUUGUUGUGGAUUCACAUCUUCUCACAUGUACCAUCCUCUUAGACCUUUAGAUUUCCAAAAAAACUAAAUGAAGAUAUGGUGGUAUGGUCUCAAUAGUACAACUUAAAGCCUUGCAUGCUUUAUAUUUUCUC